AUUGAACGCUGGCGGCAUGCCUUACACUUGCAAGUCGAACGGCAGCACGGAGCUUGCUCUGGUGGCGAGUGGCGAACGGGUGAGUAAUAUAUCGGAACGUACCCUAGAGUGGGGGAUAACGUAGCGAAAGUUACGCUAAUACCGCAUACGAUCUAAGGAUGAAAGUGGGGGAUCGCAAGACCUCAUGCUCGUGGAGCGGCCGAUAUCUGAUUAGCUAGUUGGUAGGGUAAAAGCCUACCAAGGCAUCGAUCAGUAGCUGGUCUGAGAGGACGACCAGCCACACUGGAACUGAGACACGGUCCAGACUCCUACGGGAGGCAGCAGUGGGGAAUUUUGGACAAUGGGCGAAAGCCUGAUCCAGCAAUGCCGCGUGAGUGAAGAAGGCCUUCGGGUUGUAAAGCUCUUUUGUCAGGGAAGAAACGGUGAGAGCUAAUAUCUCUUGCUAAUGACGGUACCUGAAGAAUAAGCACCGGCUAACUACGUGCCAGCAGCCGCGGUAAUACGUAGGGUGCAAGCGUUAAUCGGAAUUACUGGGCGUAAAGCGUGCGCAGGCGGUUUUGUAAGUCUGAUGUGAAAUCCCCGGGCUCAACCUGGGAAUUGCAUUGGAGACUGCAAGGCUAGAAUCUGGCAGAGGGGGGUAGAAUUCCACGUGUAGCAGUGAAAUGCGUAGAUAUGUGGAGGAACACCGAGGGCGAAGGGCAGCCCCCUGGGUCAAGAUUGACGCUCAUGCACGAAAGCGUGGGGAGCAAACAGGAUUAGAUACCCUGGUAGUCCACGCCUUAAACGAUGUCUACUAGUUGUCGGGUCUUAAUUGACUUGGUAACGCAGCUAACGCGUGAAGUAGACCGCCUGGGGAGUACGGUCGCAAGAUUAAAACUCAAAGGAAUUGACGGGGACCCGCACAAGCGGUGGAUGAUGUGGAUUAAUUCGAUGCAACGCGAAAAACCUUACCUACCCUUGACGUGGCUGGAAUCCCCGAGAGAUUGGGGAGUGCUCGAAAGAGAACCAGUACACAGGUGCUGCAUGGCUGUCGUCAGCUCGUGUCGUGAGAUGUUGGGUUAAGUCCCGCAACGAGCGCAACCCUUGUCAUUAGUUGCUACGAAAGGGCACUCUAAUGAGACUGCCGGUGACAAACCGGAGGAAGGUGGGGAUGACGUCAAGUCCUCAUGGCCCUUAUGGGUAGGGCUUCACACGUCAUACAAUGGUACAUACAGAGCGCCGCCAACCCGCGAGGGGGAGCUAAUCGCAGAAAGUGUAUCGUAGUCCGGAUUGUAGUCUGCAACUCGACUGCAUGAAGUUGGAAUCGCUAGUAAUCGCGGAUCAGCAUGUCGCGGUGAAUACGUUAAAGGGUCU
rnacentral:rRNA from 1 species